rnacentral:rRNA from 1 species
GACGAACGCUGGCGGCGUGCCUAACACAUGCAAGUCGAACGAAGAGCGACGGAAGCUUGCUUCUAUCAAUCUUAGUGGCGAACGGGUGAGUAACGCGUAAUCAACCUGCCCUUCAGAGGGGGACAACAGUUGGAAACGACUGCUAAUACCGCAUACGAUCUAACCUCGGCAUCGAGGAUAGAUGAAAGGUGGCCUCUACAUGUAAGCUAUCACUGAAGGAGGGGAUUGCGUCUGAUUAGCUAGUUGGAGGGGUAACGGCCCACCAAGGCGAUGAUCAGUAGCCGGUCUGAGAGGAUGAACGGCCACAUUGGGACUGAGACACGGCCCAGACUCCUACGGGAGGCAGCAGUGGGGAAUCUUCCGCAAUGGACGAAAGUCUGACGGAGCAACGCCGCGUGAGUGAUGACGGCCUUCGGGUUGUAAAGCUCUGUUAAUCGGGACGAAAGGCCUUCUUGCGAAUAGUGAGAAGGAUUGACGGUACCGGAAUAGAAAGCCACGGCUAACUACGUG